rnacentral:rRNA from 1 species
UACGAAGGGGGCUAGCGUUGCUCGGAAUCACUGGGCGUAAAGGGUGCGUAGGCGGGUUUUAAGUCAGAGGUGAAAUCCUGGAGCUCAACUCCAGAACUGCCUUCGAUACUGGCGAUCUCGAGUCCGGAAGAGGUGAGUGGAACUCCUAGUGUAGAGGUGGAAUUCGUAGAUAUUAGGAAGAACACCAGUGGCGAAGGCGGCUCACUGGUCCGGUACUGACGCUGAGGUGCGAAAGCGUGGGGAGCAA